UAUCUCUUCGUUGCUGCAUUGCAAAGCGCAUUAGCGCGCGGUUGUUUUUCAAGCGUGCUACUGACUUGAAAAGGGUGGAGCGAUCGGCUGAAUACGCCAACUUCACAAUCACUGAAGCAGUGGAGUUGUUCUGUUUGAAUAUUCGAAACGCAGAGCGAAUCUGAAGCGCAGGCAAAUCCAAACUCUGGCACAGACUACCAAAGCGCCUUUCGAAGAUUCGCCAGCUGCAUGUCUCUUCAAUACGCUCAAGCCAUGAUGACGGUGGCGAGCAGCGUUGCCGGUUUUGAUAGCAACUAUCCGGAGAAAAUUCGAUCUAGCCGGCAGCCGAUUUGU